rnacentral:rRNA from 1 species
AACACAUGCAAGUCGAGCGAGAACCAGUCCUUCGGGACUGGGGACAGCGGCGAACGGGUGAGUAACACGUGGGUAAUCUGCCCUCGGCACUGGGAUAGCCCGGGGAAACCCGGAUUAAUACCGGAUGGCCUUUCGAGCCUUUGGGCUCGUCAGAAAAGGUGGCUUCGGCUUCCGGCUGAGGAUGAGCCCGCGGCGGAUUAGCUUGUUGGUGGGGUAAUGGCCUACCAAGGCGACGAUCCGUAGCUGGUCUGAGAGGACGGUCAGCCACACUGGGACUGAAACACGGCCCAGACUCCUACGGGAGGCAGCAGUGGGGAAUCUUGCGCAAUGGGCGAAAGCCUGACGCAGCGACGCCGCGUGCGGGAAGAAGGCCUUCGGGUUGUAAACCGCUUUCAGGAGGGACGAACCACUCGGGUUAAUACCCCAGAGGGUGACGGUACCUCCAGAAGAAGCCCCGGCUAACUACGUGCCAGCAGCCGCGGUAAUACGUAGGGGGCAAGCGUUGUCCGGAUUUAUUGGCGUAAAGAGCGUGUAGGCGGCCAGGUAGGUCUGCUGUGA